AGCAGAUUACCUCAGCUGGACAGAGCAUGGUGCUGGUAAUGCCAAAGUUGUGGGUUUGACCCCCAUAUGGCCUA